CUACUAUUCGCCCCAGGGUGAUAGAGCCAGAAUUCAAGGUCAGGUCUUCUUGACUUGCACUCUCACACAGCCCCACCAGGACACCAAGGACUUGGAACUCUGUCAAGGACAGCUUUGGAAAAGUUUGCAAAUGUGGGGGUUGUGAGUCCUUGACCUUAUUUACAAAGAAGGCUGCACUCUGCGACUUCUGAAAGGAAAGUUAAAGCAGCUGGCAGACUUUGGAGCUCAUGUUCUCCUGGAAGUGAUGGAGUGUAGAGAAGGGAGA
rnacentral:lncRNA from 1 species